rnacentral:rRNA from 1 species
AGGGAGGCAGCAGUGGGGAAUUUUGGACAAUGGGCGCAAGCCUGAUCCAGCAAUGCCGCGUGCAGGAAGAAGGCCUUCGGGUUGUAAACUGCUUUUGUCAGGGAAGAAAUCUUCUGGGUUAAUACCUCGGGAGGAUGACGGUACCUGAAGAAUAAGCACCGGCUAACUACGUGCCAGCAGCCGCGGUAA